GCACAGUUAUAUGAAUAUAAUGGACAUUACUGAAAGCAGAGAAGAUUUUUUAUUUUUAUUCUUUUAGUCAGCCAUUGCUUAGUAUUUUAUUGGUGUUGUCAACUACCUUGUCAGUCAUCUGUUGCUUAAUAUUCUGUGCUGUCAGUUAUUCAUUGGGUUUAAUGAGAAUGAUUUAUGUUAUUGUGUAGUACAGCAUAGCUAAGUAUCUCGAGCUAAUGUAGCACCAAAAUUUGAGCAACAGUUCAACUGAACUUUGAAACUCCAGUUUAUAAUAUUCUUUUUUUAAGUUGACUCCCAAUGUAUGAAUAUAUAAGGUUUUGCACAGAGAUAAUGGGAACUAGG
rnacentral:misc_RNA from 1 species